UACGUAGGGGGCUAGCGUUGUCCGGAAUCAUUGGGCGUAAAGAGCGUGUAGGCGGCCCGGUAAGUCGGGGGUGAAAGCCUGUGGCUCAACCACAGAAUUGCCUUCGAUACUGUCGGGCUUGAGACCGGAAGAGGUAAGUGGAACUGCGAGUGUAGAGGUGAAAUUCGUAGAUAUUCGCAAGAACACCAGUGGCGAAGGCGGCUUACUGGUCCGGUUCUGACGCUGAGGCGCGAAAGCGUGGGGAGCAAACAGG
rnacentral:rRNA from 1 species